GAUGAACGCUGGCGGCGUGCCUAAUACAUGCAAGUCGAGCGAACAGACGAGGAGCUUGCUCCACUGACGUUAGCGGCGGACGGGUGAGUAACACGUGGAUAACCUACCUAUAAGACUGGGAUAACUUCGGGAAACCGGAGCUAAUACCGGAUAAUAUAUUGAACCGCAUGGUUCAAUAGUGAAAGACGGUUUUGCUGUCACUUAUAGAUGGAUCCGCGCCGCAUUAGCUAGUUGGUAAGGUAACGGCUUACCAAGGCAACGAUGCGUAGCCGACCUGAGAGGGUGAUCUGCCACACUGGAACUGAGACACGGUCCAGACUCCUACGGGAGGCAGCAGUAGGGAAUCUUCCGCAAUGGGCGAAAGCCUGACGGGGCAACGCCGCGUGAGUGAUGAAGGUCUUCGGAUCGUAAAACUCUGUUAUUAGGGAAGAACAAAUGUGUAAGUAACUAUGCACGUCUUGACGGUACCUAAUCAGAAAGCCACGGCUAACUACGUG
rnacentral:rRNA from 1 species